UACGAACAUAGAACAUUUGAACCACAUUAUACCAUCCAGAUCUAAGCAGUUAAACUUAGUAUCGCCGAUGGUAGUGUGGGGUUUCCCCAUUUGAGAGUAGGUCAUCGUCAAGA
rnacentral:rRNA from 1 species